GCUCACCCCAUCCCCGUUGCCUGGGCUGUGGUUGCUAGGUAACCGAAAGGUCGCUGGUUGCCAGGCUGGCCGGAUGAGGGACUCGGAAAUAUGCAGUGGGACAAGGAGACCAGAAGCUCUGUGACAACAGCCGUGGAGAGAGGUGGUGUGGGUCACAGCCUCCCUUAGGAGAUCCAGCCAGGGACACUGCUAGGCCAUGCCACAAAUCUCUCCUUCCCAGCCAGAACUGAGAGGAAACGUCACCCACCAGCCCCAAAGACCCAGGCUGUGUCCUCCAGAAAGAGGCACCUCCCAUGGCACAGCCCCUGCCAGACUGUGCCACACCCAUGCCAAGAUGGCACACAGACUUCCCGGCAACGCCGCUGACCUUGGCAGGCUGCCGCAGCUUCGCUCAGCCAACACAGUUCAUCGGGCAAGGUGGUGGGAGGAAAGAUUCUGUGAAACGGGCCAACUUUGCCCUGCACAACAACAACGGGGUGAAGGCUGGCCCGGGCGCUGCCAGCAAGGAGUGGGGAAGCCGGGGUCCUCAGCCCUGCCAGGAGGGGCCUGUUGGGAUGCUGGGUUUGUGGUUUAGGGGGGUGAGCAUGCCCAGAGCAAUACAAUAAAGACUUUGCCCUCGGU